rnacentral:misc_RNA from 1 species
GGAUAAGAUUGUAAUAGGAAAAGAAUUUCCUCGUUUUAACAUUUAGUAAUUGUAGGACCCUCAAAUCUGGUUUAGCAUCAUCUUCCCAUAGCACUAUCACGAUACUUGGAUAUUAACGCUACAAAAGCGGAGAAAAGGAGUCACCAUCCGGGUAAUAACCGAGAUAAAUUCAUAAGAAAGGAUGUGAAUGACAACUUACUCCUUGCAGAGGUUCACUACCCUUCUUUUACCAUGAGCCCAAUGGCUAGGUUCGGGAUAGUGGGUAUAAGAGAGAAAAGAUGUUGGUACCCUUUUUGCUUGGAGUUAUCUUAGAAUAAGAGCCAAUCUCUACAAAUAAUUCCUAAAGUCUAUCUUACUGUUUAUUUUAUUAAAUUCCCUAACCAUACAUUUAUGCAAACUAAGAUUACACAUUUAAAUUCAACCAUUCAAAGAAAUAAAAUGUGUAUAUGCGUAUAGAAAGUCCUAUCAUGUGAUAUUUCUAAGUUAAAGGAAUUACCUUAUUUACCAUCUUACCCUGCAUGCAUAUUUAACUAGGCUAAUUAUAUGUCAAGUCAUUUUACAUAACAUAGAGUCCUAAGCAUUUUGAUCUAAAGUACAUGUAUAAGAGGAGAGGAGGGUCCUAAUAAUGUCAAUGUUUCUAAGUUGCGUACUUAGACCCAUUAAUUACUAUGUUCCCCUUUAUGCAUCUUUACUAAACUCAAUUACAUAUCAAAAGACCCAUUUGAAAAUAUUCAAAAUAAUUAAACAAAAUUAAAGCUCUAAACUAAAGAAAGAGGGAGGAGAAUAGAGCUUAAAAUCUUAAAAUGGCCUUUAUAUCCCUAAAAAUAAAAAUUAAAUAAAUUAACUUAUAAUUAUUACGAAGCCUUAGACCUCCAUUAACCUCAUGUAGGAGGUCUUGAAUUUCAAAUCUUCAUUUUAGUCAACCAAAAAUCCAUUUGCACACCUUUUUCCUUUGUGAUUUUGGUUUUGGGUUUCUUUAGUGGGCUUUGGCUCAUUUAAUUAAUUUACAUGUGAAAAUAACUUAAAAAUAUAAAAAGUAAGUAUUUAAGUUAAAAUAAAAAAAUACAAAAAUUAAUUGAAUUAAAUAAGCAGAAAAUAAAAAAAAAUCAAAGAUAAGAUUAACCUAAUUAACUAAACUAAAUUAAAGUGGGAUUAGAAUUAAUUUUAACCAAUUAAAGUCUCCUAACCUAAGUCAAUUAUUUAAUCCUAAUUCCAACAUAUCUAAUAUGCAUAAUUAUCAUCAAUUAAUUAAUAGAAAACGUGUAAAUUAAUUAAAAAUAAAAAAGAGUUUAAUUGUAACUAAAAUGACUUAGAUAUGGAAAAUUUCAGAUUUGUGCGUAUAUUUUGUAAAAUCCAUAAAAAAUACAAAACUUAUCAGAAAAAAUCUAGAAAAAUUACCUAAGUCCUAUGGAAAAACAAGAACACUCAAAGUUUGAUACCAAAAAAAAUGUAAAAUUGACCAAUACUGACCUACAUGCAAAAAUCCUAAAAUUAGGCAGCAACUUUGUAAAAUCAAGGAAAAAUACUAAAACAUCAUGAAAAAUCAUAAAAAUUUACCAGAAGCUACCUAAAAUAUUAAACUAAAAUAUGGUAAAAAGUAAAUAAUUAUUCUAUCCCAGAUCAAAUAUGGAAAAUUAAUUGAAUUGAUCAAUACCAAAAUUUGGACAGCAUUGCACAAAAAUUCUGCAAAAAUUACUUACACCAAUCUACCAAGGAUUUUGUAAAUCUAACAACAUUAGAAUAAAUGAGACAUCUCGAACGAUUACUAGAAAAAAGAAUGACUGUAAGUAAGAUUUGACCUCUCAACAAAUUUUAUAAAUUUAUGUAUCAUAAAAAUUGUCCAUAAUCAUAUCAUAACUUCAAAAAUUAAUAUCUAGACAUACAAAACAACCUUUUUAGUGAUUCAAAAGGCUAUUCCAUAAGAAACAACCCAAUGAAUCUU